rnacentral:rRNA from 1 species
ACUGGCGGACGGGUGAGUAACGCGUAUGCAAUCUACCAUUGGCACGGGGAUAACACCUCUAACGAGAUGCUAAUACCCGAUGACGCAGCGGCACCGCAUGGUGACAGUUGUUAAAUGCUUCGGCGGCCAUUGAUGAGCAUGCGUUUGAUUAGGUAGUUGGUGAGGUAACGGCUCACCUAGCCCAACGAUCAAUAGCUGGUCUGAGAGGAU